CUACUGCACGUUGCAAGCAAAACCAGGGAAAAGGGCAGGCCUUCUCUUCCCUUUUCCUUUGGCUGGGGUUUUGAAUCCCCAAAUGCCACUGACACUAAACCGGAGCCCGACCGACGAAAGUCAAUCCACGAAGGUAAGUAUUCCUUUCUUUAUUCCCUUAUUUCCGUAUAUAUACAAAGAAAACAAAACGAAAAUGAAAUUAAAAGCUAGAAAUAUAAAAAUAGGAAUUUACCCAAAAGAAAUCUCUAACCUAAUUUCCUUCUGAUAUUGUAUUCGAAAUUUUUUUCUAUUUCUUGCUUGGAUCGUGCCUUUACACCCAAAAAAACUCUCUGCUCCUCUUCUUUUACAUAUGAUUUUCGGCUUUAUAUAGCCUUUGUUUACAAUGUUUUUUGUUACUUGUUUUGCAAAUCUGUGCGAGAAUCUCGGAGCCGUGAUGGAGUGGGACGUCGACGUGGCAUGGUGGAGCGAUGUGCGGCGCGCGUGGUGGCUACCGGUGAGAGACAUGCGGCGUUGAAACUAUUUGGGGAUGCUGUUCUUAUUUUUGUUGUUAGGGGUUUUUGGGUAGUUUAGUUUAGUUGGGCUGAAUAAAAUUGGGCUGGGUUUUGUUUUAGUGGUUAAUUUGUUUAGGCCUAGGUUUGUUUAAAAAUUUGGUCCUACAGCUGUCCCUCUUUGCUCAUUGUCGUGUAAUGAGAAUAGAGUAAAGAUUUUAGGAAGACCAAAUUUGUUUGGGCUGGCUGAGUCUUGUCUUUUUUGUCACAGCCCACCGCACUUUAUUGCUUCAAAAAUGCUCUUUUGUUGCUUCAUGUAAAUGAGAUUUGCUGAAAUUUGAUCUGCUCCGCUCCUGCUCAGCGAAGAUAAGAUUCGCUGUAUCUGACUUGCUCUACUCUUGUUCAACGGAGAUAAGAUCUGAUAUAUUUAGCCUGCUUCACUCCUGCUCAGUGAAGAUAAGGCUGAUGAUUAGAAUCUGCUCCAUCAUCAGUACGUGAAGAUUCACCAAAAUUCGAUCUGCUCUGCUCUUGCUCAACGAAGAUAAGAUCUGCUAUAUUUAACCUGCUUCACUCCUGCUCAGUGAAGAUAAGGCUGAUGAUUGGAAUCUGCUCCAUCGCCAGUACGUGGAGAUAAGAUUCGCCAAAAUUCGAUCUGCUCCGCUCCUGCUCAGCGAAGAUAAGAUCUGCUAUAUUUAGCCUGCUUCACUCCUGCUCAGUGAAGAUAAGGCUGAUGAUUGGAAUCUGUUAUAUGUAGGACCAAAUUUAUGCCCGGGACCAAUAAGCAGAGCCCAGAACACCAACCAUCCAAUUAGCACCCACUAAACUGACCACUAACUCCUAAACUACCCCACUAAGCCACCCCACUAACUCCAUCACCCUACUAAGCUACCCCACUAACUCUAUUACCCUACUUGUCACCAUGGAAGGAGGCAAUCAAUUGUAAAAUUUGGCUAUAAAAGCCAUUCAAAACUAUUGUAAAGGGGGUUGGUUUUUGGAGAUUAAUCAAAGAUCAAAGCAAAAGAGUUUUUUUUUUGUCUAUUCUUGUUUUAAGUUAUUUGUUUGUCUAUUUUUUCAUUUCAAUUUUAUUUUAUUUUUUUUAUACGAAAGUAAAAAUAAAGGGACGAAACUUACCCAUUUUAAAAUUACCGAAAAAGGAUUUUUUUGAGGUUCGGCUGCCGUGUACGGUGGCGCCGAUAGUGGCUCAUGGGGGUUUGGUGACCGGAGCAAGGUCGGAC
rnacentral:lncRNA from 1 species